ensembl:lncRNA
UUUCUAGACACUGAAGCAGGAAACCCUUUGGAAGUUAAUAUUUGUGUCAUUCUCAAAACUUUUGGCCACGACUGCACCCCUAGCCUCAACCACAACGACAACACUAACCCUAACUUCUUGUCCACAUCCUGGCUCAACACUACCCCUAGCCUCAACCACAACGACAACACUAACCCUAACUUCUUGUCCACAUCCUGGCUCAACACUACCCCUAGCCCCAACUACAACCCUAACACUAACCCUAACUUCUUGUCCACAUCCUGGCUCAACACUACCCCUAGCCUCAACUACAACCCUAACACUAACCCGAACUUCUUGUCCACAUCCUGGCUCAACACUACCCCUAGCCUCAACUACAACCCUAACACUAACCCUAACUUCUUGUCCACAUCCUGGCUCAACACUACCCCUAGCCUCAACUACAACCCUAACACUAACCCUAACUUCUUGUCCACAUCCUGGCUCAACACUACCCCUAGCCCCAACUACAACCCUAACACUAACGCUAACUUCUUGUCCACAUCCUGGCUCAACACUACCCCUAGCCUCAACUACAACCCUAACACUAACCCUAACUUCUUGUCCACAUCCUGGCUCAACACUACCCCUAGCCUCAACUACAACCCUAACACUAACCCUAACUUCUUGUCCACAUCCUGGCUCAACACUACCCCUAGCCUCAACUACAACCCUAACACUAACCCUAACUUCUUGUCCACAUCCUGGCUCAACACUACCCCUAGCCUCAACUACAACCCUAACACUAACCCUAACUUCUUGUCCACAUCCUGGCUCAACACUACCCCUAGCCCCAACUACAACCCUAACACUAACGCUAACUUCUUGUCCACAUCCUGGCUCAACACUACCCCUAGCCUCAACUACAACCCUAACACUAACCCUAACUUCUUGUCCACAUCCUGGCUCAACACUACCCCUAGCCUCAACUACAACCCUAACACUAACCCUAACUUCUUGUCCACAUCCUGGCUCAACACUACCCCUAGCCUCAACUACAACCCUAACACUAACCCUAACUUCUUGUCCACAUCCUGGCUCAACACUACCCCUAGCCUCAACUACAACCCUAACACUAACCCUAACUUCUUGUCCACAUCCUGGCUCAACACUACCCCUAGCCUCAACUACAACCCUAACACUAACCCUAACUUCUUGUCCACAUCCUGGCUCAACACUACCCCUAGCCUCAACUACAACCCUAACACUAACGCUAACUUCUUGUCCACAUCCUGGCUCAACACUACCCCUAGCCUCAACUACAACCCUAACACUAACCCUAACUUCUUGUCCACAUCCUGGCUCAACACUACCCCUAGCCUCAACUACAACCCUAACACUAACCAUGGAGUAUUGUACUAUAUCCUACUUGACUCUUUGAAUACCAUGAGGUGUUGGAGCUUGGCUUCAGGUAACACCAACUUAAUUUACCCACUGGUUUCAUCUGAGGUGUUCCAAUUUUCCCCAUACCAUCAUGGAUUUAUUAGAACUGUUCACCAGACAGACACAUUGUGCCUUUGUCAACAGGUAAAGGGAAAAUACACCGUUUUAAUUUCCUUCAGGAUUCUUUAUUGA